AUGCAGUCGAGCGGGGUUUUCGGACCUAGCGGCGGACGGGUGAGUAAUGCGUAGGAAGCUACCCGAUAGAGGGGGAUACCAGUUGGAAACGACUGUUAAUACCGCAUAAUGUCUACGGACCAAAGUGUGGGACCUUCGGGCCACAUGCUAUCGGAUGCGCCUACGUGGGAUUAGCUAGUUGGUGAGGUAAUGGCUCACCAAGGCGACGAUCUCUAGCUGGUUUGAGAGGAUGAUCAGCCACACUGGAACUGAGACACGGUCCAGACUCCUACGGGAGGCAGCAGUGGGGAAUAUUGGACAAUGGGCGCAAGCCUGAUCCAGCCAUGCCGCGUGUGUGAAGAAGGCCUUCGGGUUGCAAAGCACUUUCAGCGAGGAGGAAGGGUUGUGUGUUAAUAGCACGCAAUUUUGACGUUACUCGCAGAAGAAGCACCGGCUAACUCUGUGCCAGCAGCCGCGGUAAUACAGAGGGUGCAAGCGUUAAUCGGAAUUACUGGGCGUAAAGCGCGCGCAGGCGGUUGGUUAAGUCAGAUGUGAAAGCCCCGGGCUCAACCUGGGAAUUGCAUUUGAAACUGGCCAACUAGAGUAUGUGAGAGGGGGGUAGAAUUCCAAGUGUAGCGGUGAAAUGCGUAGAGAUUUGGAGGAAUACCAGUGGCGAAGGCGGCCCCCUGGCACAAUACUGACGCUCAGGUGCGAAAGCGUGGGGAGCAAACAGGAUU
rnacentral:rRNA from 1 species